AUAUGUUCUUUCGCUUGUGAAGGUUCAAGGAAGUUGAGUUUCCAUCAUAAUGGACUACUCGUUUAAUAGGGAAUCCCCAUUGAUACGUUAGAUUCUUUUCCCUUAAGAUCUUUUUUUCUUGAAAGCAUCUUCUUACUGAUAUAGUGGCUGCUGAAAUGUUCGAAAAGAUAUUUGUAUUUUUCUUCUUUAAAGGGAUUUUUCGUAAUUAUUCUUCUAGAUUUGAGAACCAGACAAGUACAUUUCUAGGUGCUGUAAUUUUGUUUGGUUUCCGUAGCCUGUGAAAUCUUACUAAUGGAUGGGAAUCAAAAAGUACUAUUUCCAUUUAUUGAUGAAAACAUAUCUAGUAAGUAGGCUUCCAAUUGCUGACUUGAGACACUUUCUGGAAUACCUCUUAUUCUAAAGU